GACGAACGCUGGCGGCGUGCCUAAUACAUGCAAGUCGAGCGGACGAACCGAAAGUUUGCUUUUGAUUCGUUAGCGGCGGACGGGUGAGUAACACGUGGGCAACCUGCUCUGUAGACGGGGAUAACACCGAGAAAUCGGCGCUAAUACCGGAUAACACGAAAUGUCGCAUGACGUUUCGUUGAAAGACGGCGCAAGCUGUUGCUAUAGCAUGGGAUCGCGGUGCAGUGGAUAGUUGGGGAGGUGACGGCUCACCAGGGCGACGAUGCGUAGCCGACCUGAGAGGGUGGUCGGCCACACUAGGACUGGGACACGGCCCAGACUCCUACGGGAGGCCGCAGUAGGGAAUCUUCCGCAAUGGACGGGAGUCUGACGGAGCAACGCCGCGUGAGCGAAGGAGGCCUUCGGGUCGUAAAGCUCUGUUGUUAGGGAAGAACAAGUAACGCAGUAACUGGCGUUACCGUGACGGUACCUAGCGAGAAAGCCACGGCUAACUACGUG
rnacentral:rRNA from 1 species